UGGGGAAUUUUGGACAAUUGGCGGAAGCCUUAUCCCGCCCUUCCGGGUGUUUGAAGAAGGCUUUUUGGUUGUAAAGCCCUUUUAGCGAGGAAGAAACUGCUAUGAGUUAUUCCCUUGAUGAGUGGACGUUACUCGCAGAAUAAGCACCGGCUAACUCUGUGCCAGCAGCCGCGGUAAUACAGAGGGUGCGAGCGUUAAUCGGAUUUACUGGGCGUAAAGCGUGCGUAGGCGGUUGAUUAAGUCGGAUGUGAAAUCCCUGAGCUCAACUUGGGAAUUGCAUUCGAUACUGGUAAGCUAGAGUAUGGGAGAGGAUGGUAGAAUUCCAGGUGUAGCGGUGAAAUGCGUAGAGAUCUGGAGGAAUACCGAUGGCGAAGGCAGCCAUCUGGCCUAAUACUGACGCUGAGGUACGAAAGCAUGGGGAGCAAACAGGAUUAGAUACCCUGGUAGUCCAUGCCGUAAACGAUGUCUACUAGCCGUUGGGGCCUUUGAGGCUUUAGUGGCGCAGCUAACGCGAUAAGUAGACCGCCUG
rnacentral:rRNA from 1 species